AGAGAGAGACAUGCGCGCAUAUCAAUAAGCGGAGGAAAAGAAACUAACAAGGAUUCCCUUAGUAACGGCGAGUGAAGCGGGAAGAGCUCAAAUUUGAAAUCUUCAAGGUUUUACCUUGACGAAUUGUAGUUUAAAGAAGUGUUUUCUGUUGAAGUUUUGGUAAAAGUUCUUUGGAAUAGGACAUCAUAGAGGGUGAGAAUCCCGUAUUUGACCAUUAUUUUCAGCUUUGUGAUACACUUUCAAAGAGUCGGAUUGUUUGGGAAUGCAGUCCAAAAUGGGUGGUAAAUUUCAUCUAAAGCUAAAUAUUGGCGAGAGACCGAUAGCGAACAAGUACCGUGAGGGAAAGAUGAAAAGAACUUUGAAAAGAGAGUUAAACAGUACGUGAAAUUGUCAAAAGGGAAGCGUUUGACACCAGUGUUGUUUUCUCGAAAAUCAAUUAAAAAUGGCUCGAUUUUGCUAUUGCUUGAGACCUUAAAAGCUCACUGUACAUUUUUCGUGUCUUUUUUAAUGCACUUUUCGUUUAACAAGUCAACAUCAGUUUCUUUUGUUGUAAAAGGGUCAUUGGAAGGUGGCUUUCUUUUCGGAGAAAGUGUUUAUAGCCUUUGGCCUCUGCAGUCGGAGAGACUGAGGUCUGCAGCGUAGACUCUUCGGGGUUAGAUACAUUUGUGCUAAGUUAUAGCUUUUUAUAGACAACUUGUUGACUAUAAUUAGUCUUGUAGCUUACUCGCUUAUGCUAUUUUACCUACGCUUAGGAUGUUGAGUCGUAGAGCACGCAG
rnacentral:rRNA from 1 species